rnacentral:rRNA from 1 species
GGGUUGUGAGGUUAAGCGACUAAGCGUACACGGUGGAUGCCCUGGCAGUCAGAGGCGAUGAAGGACGUGCUAAUCUGCGAUAAGCGUCGGUAAGGUGAUAUGAACCGUUAUAACCGGCGAUUUCCGAAUGGGGAAACCCAGUGUGUUUCGACACACUAUCAUUAACUGAAUCCAUAGGUUAAUGAGGCGAACCGGGGGAACUGAAACAUCUAAGUACCCCGAGGAAAAGAAAUCAACCGAGAUUCCCCCAGUAGCGGCGAGCGAACGGGGAGCAGCCCAGAGCCUGAAUCAGUAUGUGUGUUAGUGGAAGCGUCUGGAAAGGCGCGCGAUACAGGGUGACAGCCCCGUACACAAAAAUGCACAUAUUGUGAGCUCGAUGAGUAGGGCGGGACACGUGGUAUCCUGUCUGAAUAUGGGGGGACCAUCCUCCAAGGCUAAAUACCCUGACUGACCGAUAGUGAACCAGUACCGUGAGGGAAAGGCGAAAAGAACCCCGGCGAGGGGAGUGAAAAAAGAACCUGAAACCGUGUACGUACAAGCAGUGGGAGCACGCUUAGGCGUGUGACUGCGUACCUUUGUAUAAUGGGUCAGCGACUUAUAUUCUGUAGCAAGGUUAACCGAAUAGGGGAGCCGAAGGGAAACCGAGUCUUAACUGGGCGUUAAGUUGCAGGGUAUAGACCCGAAACCCGGUGAUCUAGCCAUGGGCAGGUUGAAGGUUGGGUAACACUAACUGGAGGACCGAACCGACUAAUGUUGAAAAAUUAGCGGAUGACUUGUGGCUGGGGGUGAAAGGCCAAUCAAACCGGGAGAUAGCUGGUUCUCCCCGAAAGCUAUUUAGGUAGCGCCUCGUGAAUUCAUCUCCGGGGGUAGAGCACUGUUUCGGCAAGGGGGUCAUCCCGACUUACCAACCCGAUGCAAACUGCGAAUACCGGAGAAUGUUAUCACGGGAGACACACGGCGGGUGCUAACGUCCGUCGUGAAGAGGGAAACAACCCAGACCGCCAGCUAAGGUCCCAAAGUCAUGGUUAAGUGGGAAACGAUGUGGGAAGGCCCAGACAGCCAGGAUGUUGGCUUAGAAGCAGCCAUCAUUUAAAGAAAGCGUAAUAGCUCACUGGUCGAGUCGGCCUGCGCGGAAGAUGUAACGGGGCUAAACCAUGCACCGAAGCUGCGGCAGCGACGCUUAUGCGUUGUUGGGUAGGGGAGCGUUCUGUAAGCCUGUGAAGGUGUACUGUGAGGUAUGCUGGAGGUAUCAGAAGUGCGAAUGCUGACAUAAGUAACGAUAAAGCGGGUGAAAAGCCCGCUCGCCGGAAGACCAAGGGUUCCUGUCCAACGUUAAUCGGGGCAGGGUGAGUCGACCCCUAAGGCGAGGCCGAAAGGCGUAGUCGAUGGGAAACAGGUUAAUAUUCCUGUACUUGGUGUUACUGCGAAGGGGGGACGGAGAAGGCUAUGUUGGCCGGGCGACGGUUGUCCCGGUUUAAGCGUGUAGGCUGGUUUUCCAGGCAAAUCCGGAAAAUCAAGGCUGAGGCGUGAUGACGAGGCACUACGGUGCUGAAGCAACAAAUGCCCUGCUUCCAGGAAAAGCCUCUAAGCAUCAGGUAACAUCAAAUCGUACCCCAAACCGACACAGGUGGUCAGGUAGAGAAUACCAAGGCGCUUGAGAGAACUCGGGUGAAGGAACUAGGCAAAAUGGUGCCGUAACUUCGGGAGAAGGCACGCUGAUAUGUAGGUGAAGCGACUUGCUCGUGGAGCUGAAAUCAGUCGAAGAUACCAGCUGGCUGCAACUGUUUAUUAAAAACACAGCACUGUGCAAACACGAAAGUGGACGUAUACGGUGUGACGCCUGCCCGGUGCCGGAAGGUUAAUUGAUGGGGUUAGCGCAAGCGAAGCUCUUGAUCGAAGCCCCGGUAAACGGCGGCCGUAACUAUAACGGUCCUAAGGUAGCGAAAUUCCUUGUCGGGUAAGUUCCGACCUGCACGAAUGGCGUAAUGAUGGCCAGGCUGUCUCCACCCGAGACUCAGUGAAAUUGAACUCGCUGUGAAGAUGCAGUGUACCCGCGGCAAGACGGAAAGACCCCGUGAACCUUUACUAUAGCUUGACACUGAACAUUGAGCCUUGAUGUGUAGGAUAGGUGGGAGGCUUUGAAGUGUGGACGCCAGUCUGCAUGGAGCCGACCUUGAAAUACCACCCUUUAAUGUUUGAUGUUCUAACGUUGACCCGUAAUCCGGGUUGCGGACAGUGUCUGGUGGGUAGUUUGACUGGGGCGGUCUCCUCCUAAAGAGUAACGGAGGAGCACGAAGGUUGGCUAAUCCUGGUCGGACAUCAGGAGGUUAGUGCAAUGGCAUAAGCCAGCUUGACUGCGAGCGUGACGGCGCGAGCAGGUGCGAAAGCAGGUCAUAGUGAUCCGGUGGUUCUGAAUGGAAGGGCCAUCGCUCAACGGAUAAAAGGUACUCCGGGGAUAACAGGCUGAUACCGCCCAAGAGUUCAUAUCGACGGCGGUGUUUGGCACCUCGAUGUCGGCUCAUCACAUCCUGGGGCUGAAGUAGGUCCCAAGGGUAUGGCUGUUCGCCAUUUAAAGUGGUACGCGAGCUGGGUUUAGAACGUCGUGAGACAGUUCGGUCCCUAUCUGCCGUGGGCGCUGGAGAACUGAGGGGGGCUGCUCCUAGUACGAGAGGACCGGAGUGGACGCAUCACUGGUGUUCGGGUUGUCAUGCCAAUGGCACUGCCCGGUAGCUAAAUGCGGAAGAGAUAAGUGCUGAAAGCAUCUAAGCACGAAACUUGCCCCGAGAUGAGUUCUCCCUGACUCCUUGAGAGUCCUGAAGGAACGUUGAAGACGACGACGUUGAUAGGCCGGGUGUGUAAGCGCAGCGAUGCGUUGAGCUAACCGGUACUAAUGAACCGUGAGGCUUAACCUUACAACGCCGAAGGUGUUU